GCAAUACCGCUGACGACCGGCGCACGGGUGAGUAACACGUAUCCAACCUUCCCAUAACUCGGGGAUAGCCUUUCGAAAGAAAGAUUAAUACCCGAUAGUACUUUUUCAAGGCAUCUUGAGAAAGUUAAAGAUUUAUUGGUUAUGGAUGGGGAUGCGUUCCAUUAGAUAGUUGGUGAGGUAACGGCUCACCAAGUCUUCGAUGGAUAGGGGUUCUGAGAGGAAGGUCCCCCACAUUGGUACUGAGACACGGACCAAACUCCUACGGGAGGCAGCAGUGAGGAAUAUUGGUCAAUGGGCGAGAGCCUGAACCAGCCAAGUAGCGUGAAGGAUGACGG
rnacentral:rRNA from 1 species